rnacentral:rRNA from 1 species
UACGGGGGGGGCAAGCGUUGUUCGGAAUUACUGGGCGUAAAGGGUUUGUAGGUGGCUUGUUAAGUCAGACGUGAAAUCCCUCAGCUUAACUGGGGAACUGCGUCUGAUACUGGCGAGCUUGAGUGCAGGAGAGGAACGCGGAAUUCCAGGUGUAGCGGUGAAAUGCGUAGAUAUCAAGCAGAACACCUGCGGCGAAGGCGGCCUUCUGGACGAUGACUGACGCUGAGACACGAAAGCGUGGGGAGCAAACAGG